GACGAACGCUGGCGGCGUGCUUAACACAUGCAAGUCGAACGGAAAGGCCCUGCUUUUGUGGGGUGCUCGAGUGGCGAACGGGUGAGUAACACGUGAGUAACCUGCCCUUGACUUUGGGAUAACUUCAGGAAACUGGGGCUAAUACCGGAUAGGAGCUCCUGCUGCAUGGUGGGGGUUGGAAAGUUUCGGCGGUUGGGGAUGGAAUCGCGGCUUAUCAGCUUGUUGGUGGGGUAGUGGCUUACCAAGGCUUUGAAGGGUAGCCGGCCUGCGAGGGUGACCGGCCACGUUGGGACUGAGAUACGACCCAGACUCCUACGGGAGGCAGCAGUGGGGAAUAUUGCACAAUGGGCGGAAGCCUGAUGCAGCAACGCCGCGUGCGGGAUGACGGCCUUCGGGUUGUAAACCGCUUUCGCCUGUGACGAAGCGUGAGUGACGGUAAUGGGUAAAGAAGCACCGGCUAACUACGUG
rnacentral:rRNA from 1 species